rnacentral:snRNA from 1 species
AUCUGUUCUUUUCAGUUUAAUAUCUGAUACGUCCCCUACCCGGGGACUGCAUGUUAAAUGGAUUUUUGGAUCACGGAGCUGGAGCCGGGGCUUGCUCCGUCCACUCCACGCAUCGGCCUGGUAUUGCAGUGUCUCUAGAAACGGUGU